UGUUGUUUCUUUACUCUUUAGGUUCCUCAUAUAAGUCAUUUGUGUGCAAUGUUUCAGUCUGUUCCACACAUAUGGAGAAAAUGAACACAAUGACUCAAUCAUUUAUCAAUAAGUAAAUGUCUAUUACAUCUGUACUACAGAUAUUUGUAGACCAACAUUGGCAUAAAUAGAGAUCAUUAAAAGAGCAGUGUCCUCUGAGGUAACCCUGACCACAGCCUGUAAUCUCUACAAGCUCCGGAUGAUUUAUUCCACAAAGCAUGUAUGUUCCUUGAUAAUUUGCAUGUAUUGGACACUGAACUAUUUACAGUCAGCCCUACUUUCAUUUCAGGCAUUGAUGUGUUUAAGCCAUUCUCUGCCUGUCAAUAAUAGAACUGUAUUCUCCAAAACAUCUUUUCCCAUAAAACCUCUUAAUAAGGCACCCUGCGGCUAUGUGCACUGUGUUGCAGGAAAAGGAGCGUGUCAAGAUGUUUGCUGUCUCCCUCUGUGCUCAGAAAUCCAUAGUUAGAGUGAAGAAUUGACUGUGGAAAGUUUGCUGCUGACACAGAAUUUAACAAGAGCCGUACAGAGAAGAGUUUCUACCUCUGAGAUUGUUUCAAAGGUAACUUGCAGAAUAUUUCUAAAAGCUCUAAAGACUAAUCUCGGAUUCAUGGAAGGCCUACAGGUUACUUCAAGUGUUGUUCAAAUAUAAUUACAAACCCUCCACAGUGGCAUGACAAAAAUCUCUUCUGAUUGAAGAGAUUUCUUAUUCAAUGUCGACCAAGGUUUCUCUUUUUAUACAACUGCAUCAACAAAAGAGUAACCCGCUGUCGCUCACUGAUGCUUAUCUAACAGUUGAAACUACCAUGUUUUGUCAGCCAUUGUUAAGAAUAAAUUAUUUAAAGUAGCUCAACUGAAAGUCUGACACGACUUAUCUUCAUUCAUUUCAUUUCAUUUCAUUUCAUUUAUUAUACAGGAAAGUUUAAAAGUAACAUUAAGUUACAGUUUAACGGGCCUGACUGAAAACUGGUUUCCAGCAGGUUCCUGUUCUGCAGAACAUGAAACAUAAACCACAGUCAUGACACAUCAAGACAAAUACAUUUACAGGACAUUAGCAUGGGCUAGGCAAAUACAGACAAAUAGAAACAAACAGUACAGAUACUGCGGACAAUACAUGAACAAUUAAUGAGUGCAGGUGUAAGUGUGGAGAAGGUGUCAUUUGUAUGUAUUUCUGAAAUAUGAGGUAGAUGGUAAAGUUCUAAUGUUAUGGGGAAUGUCAUUCCAAAUUUUGGUGUAUGUAUAAAAGAAGGACUUACGACCAUAGUUGUUUUUGUAUGCAGGGACUGGGAUGAGUGCCUGUGAGACUGACCUAGUGAGGCGCACUUGUCUACUAUUAUCUGUCGGUAGAAGUGCAGCGAGUGUUGAUGAAGUGCUGUUUUUAAUCUGAAAAUAGUAUGUAAUAGCGUGGCUGUGUAUGUAAUUCUGGAAAGUCAAGGCGUUGGAGCAUGUGAGUGCAGAGCAAUGGUGUAACCACUUUGGGAGGUUACUCUGAUCUUAUUAUACACAUAAAGUUUCUGACUCAGCUUAGUAGUUAGUUUAGAGGUGUGUUCACGGUAUGUAAGAUGCGAAUCAAGUAGCACACCAAGAUAUUUGUAGGUCUUUGUGACGACAAGAUCUUGGCUUGCAAAGGUGAUGGGAUCAGUGAAUGUAAUACAUUUUCUGGGGGAGUGAAAGUACAUACACUCAGUUUUCUUUGCAUUGAUGGUCAAAUGAUUAUUUUUCAACCAGUCAUGUAAGAACUGAAGAUCAGAUGACAAUUUGGAAUUUAUGACAUUAGGAUUUGAGUCAGAGAGAAAAAUCACAGUAUCAUCAGCAUACAGUAAGCAUUUUGAAUAUUUGCACACUUGAGGAAGAUCAU